ACGAACGCUGGCGGCGUGCUUCACACAUGCCAGUCGAACGAAGAGCGAUGGAAGCUUGCUUCUAUCAAUCUUAGUGGCGAACGGGUGAGUAACGCGUAAUCAGCCUGCCCUUCAGAGGGGGACAACAGUUGGAAACGACUGCUAAUACCGCAUACGAUCUAAUCUCGGCAUCGAGGAUAGAUGAAAGGUGGCCUCUACAUGUAAGCUAUCACUGAAGGAGGGGAUUGCGUCUGAUUAGCUAGUUGGAGGGGUAGCGGCCCACCAAGGCGAUGAUCAGUAGCCGGUCUGAGAGGAUGAACGGCCACAUUGGGACUGAGACACGGCCCAGACUCCUACGGGAGGCAGCAGUGGGGAAUCUUCCGCAAUGGACGAAAGUCUGACGGAGCAACGCCGCGGGAGUGAUGACGGCCUUCGGGUUGUAAAGCUCUGUUAAUCGGGACGAAAGGCCUUCUUGCGAAUAGUGAGAAGGAUUGACGGUACCGGAAGAGAAAGCCACGGCUAACUACGUG
rnacentral:rRNA from 1 species